rnacentral:rRNA from 1 species
UACGUAGGGUGCGAGCGUUAAUCGGAAUUACUGGGCGUAAAGCGUGCGCAGGCGGUCUGUUAAGACCGAUGUGAAAUCCCCGGGCUUAACCUGGGAACUGCAUUGGUGACUGGCAGGCUUUGAGUGUGGCAGAGGGAGGUAGAAUUCCACGUGUAGCAGUGAAAUGCGUAGAGAUGUGGAGGAACACCGAUGGCGAAGGCAGCCUCCUGGGCUAACACUGACGCUCAAGCACGAAAGCGUGGGGAGCAAACAGG